rnacentral:rRNA from 1 species
UACGUAGGGUCCGAGCGUUGUCCGGAAUCACUGGGCGUAAAGGGCGCGUAGGUGGUUUGAUAAGGGUGUGGUGAAAGCCCGGGGCUCAACCCCGGGUCUGCCGUGGCGACUGUCAAACUCGAGGGCUGUAGAGGCAGACGGAAUUCCAGGUGUAGCGGUGAAAUGCGUAGAUAUCUGGAGGAACACCGGUGGCGAAGGCGGCAUUCUGGACCGGCAUUGACGCUGAGGCGCGAAAGCCAGGGGAGCAAACGGG